AUAUUCUAGCAGCAGGUUGUGCGAUUCAUUUUAUUACUCUGGAAAGCACAAACGGGAUCUUCACCCUUCACACAGAUUUAAUCUCAAGUGAAUGAUGGAUGGAGAUAUGAUCUCGUUAAUUCAGAAAAACAAGCAGAUUUUUUUCUUACGUAAAUCCAUUACGCUUCCGUAGUGGCUGGAUGACAGGUGAAAAAACAUCUUUGGGCUUUUCCUUUAAGUUCUGUGCAGUCUAUGGUUCUGUGUAAGGUUUGCUAACGAUGCUCCAUGAUGACUUUAACAGUGGUAACGAUGGUUAAUUGGUUAUCAAUUAUAGGAGCUUUGCCAAUUUUUUUUUGGCAUGUUUUGGUGAAAAGUAUGAUUAUAUGCUAUACACUGUCCACACAAAUGAACGAGUUAGAUGUGGAUGCUACAUACGUGAGUUUUAAAUUUUAAUGUAAAGUUAGCUAAUGCUACAAUUAGCUAGGUUUUGACAUUUUUUUGCUACCGUUAGAAGCCGUUGUAGACACCACUAGACACCGAACUACCCUAAAGUUACUCUCCCGAAAUGUUUUAAACUAUGUAAAAAAUACUCUGCUAUGAUUAGUAUUGUUUAUGUUUAUGUUUAACAUGGUUUCCCCACAUAAAACGUUGAAAAAAAUGGGGCUGGAAGAACAUCUACACUCACUUCCUCAUUAAGAAGUUCUGGCUCAGGCCUUGUGCCCCGCCCACCUUGCGCUAGGUAGACAGGUGAAACAACGAAGUGUACCAAGAUGGUAAAAGGAGGAAACGUAGGAGAGACUCAGCCACACGUUUGAACCUCAGUCAGACUCAGACUCAGGAGUUUGUUGAAAAGUGAGGAGUUUGUUGUGCACCUAAAAGAGGAGACUAGAAGACGUAUCGGAGCGAUGCUUCCUGUGUAUAUGAGUUCCCCCUCUGAUGUGCAGAGAAGCUGUGUGAGAAAAAACUCUGACCCACUGACACCAGCUGCCCAGUCUCCCUCUGUCGGCUGCAGAGAAACAGACCUAUCCCAGUCAAGAAGUUCUGCUCCACCCUCCCCUCCUGCUCCUUCCACCUCCUCCAGCUGUCCCACCAAAGCCAGGGCCAACGCCCCCUGCUGGAACAGUGGAUACAUUACAGUCUGCAUUACAAUGCCAGUUAUCUGUGACUGACCAGCAGGCAGAAAAGUGCUUCAUUUAAACUGACCUGGUAAGCUGCCCGCUCCCACUCCUUGGCCUGUUCCUGCAGGACCUCCUGCUCCUCCUAAACCUCCUGCUACACUGCCUGAACAGAAACUCACCUGUGGCACCUCCUGUUCCUGCCCCAGGAAGCCCUCCUACUCCACCACCUGAGGAACACAGGUGUGGUUGAGCAUCACCAAGGUUCUCAGCUACACGAAGACUUUAUGACCAUAAAUAACACAGAUAAUAAGAGGAUAAAUGCAUUUUAUG